rnacentral:rRNA from 1 species
UACAGAGGGGGCAAGCGUUGUUCGGAAUUACUGGGCGUAAAGGGCGCGUAGGCGGCCUGUUAAGUCGAACGUGAAAUCCCCGGGCUCAACCCGGGAACUGCGACCGAUACUGGCAGGCUUGAAUCCGGGAGAGGGAUGUGGAAUUCCAGGUGUAGCGGUGAAAUGCGUAGAUAUCUGGAGGAACACCGGUGGCGAAGGCGGCAUCCUGGACCGGUAUUGACGCUGAGGCGCGAAAGCCAGGGGAGCAAACGGG